rnacentral:rRNA from 1 species
UACGUAGGGUGCGAGCGUUGUCCGGAAUUACUGGGCGUAAAGGGUGCGUAGGCGGGUCUUUAAGUCAGGGGUGAAAUCCUGGAGCUCAACUCCAGAACUGCCUUUGAUACUGAGGAUCUUGAGUUCGGGAGAGGUGAGUGGAACUGCGAGUGUAGAGGUGAAAUUCGUAGAUAUUCGCAAGAACACCAGUGGCGAAGGCGGCUCACUGGCCCGAUACUGACGCUGAUGCACGAAAGCGUGGGGAGCAAACAGG